rnacentral:lncRNA from 1 species
GCCUUGUGGUGUGUCAGCCACCCCUCCCAGCUUCAUUAUCAUCAGCAAAACUGCUGAGGGUGCAUUCUAUCCUUCCAUCCAGGUCGCAGAUGAAGACACUGAACAUGACCAGACCCACUACUGACCUCCGGGGAACACAGUUAAGGACCUCCUGUUCUGUCAUAUGUCGACCUUCACCUAUACCUUCAUUAUCCACUGGGGAGCUGUAUCAUCAUGUCUGCACAACUGCAUGCUAGAAUGGCACUGUGAGAGAAAGCUUGGGAAGCAAUCAAGGAAAACAAGAAAUCAAGGAAUUAAGUUGAAAAGUACUCAAUACAAAAAAACUGCACAACCCAUCAAGCUCCAUCUCCCUCCCUCCAUGAUUCCCCAAAUCUUGCCAAUGCAGAGAAAGCCAUCAGUACGCAGUAUGGCAGUGCUUACCUGAAACAUCUGCCAUGGAGACUUGAAACUGAAACUGGAGAUGACCCAAGAAGUGUGGGAAUACAAGAAAAGCUGUUCAGAGCAGAAGCUGUGGAGCAAGAUAAACAGCAUGAGAACCAAGGACACCUCUAGAAGGAGAAGAAGGGACUCACAGCUCUGAUUAGAUAUGCGCCUGCAUGGACAGUUGAAAAGUGUUUUGUAGAAUGCUCUGUUGACAUGUAAAGGUGGUCGGGAAAGUUGUAAGUUGGAUGGAAAAGCUAGAAAACAAAAACUUGUGAAGGUAUAUAAGGGAUGUGAGAACUUGUAAUAAAUGAUUUGGAUCGUUCA